rnacentral:rRNA from 1 species
UACGUAGGGUGCGAGCGUUAAUCGGAAUUACUGGGCGUAAAGCGUGCGCAGGCGGUUCGCUAAGACCGAUGUGAAAUCCCCGGGCUUAACCUGGGAACUGCACUUGUGACUGCACAGCUGGAGUACGGCAGAGGGGGAUGGAAUUCCGCGUGUAGCAGUGAAAUGCGUAGAUAUGCGGAGGAACACCGAUGGCGAAGGCAGUCCCCUGGGCCUGUACUGACGCUCAUGCACGAAAGCGUGGGGAGCAAACAGG